GACGGGGGCCCGCACAAGCGGCGGAGCAUGCGGAUUAAUUCGAUGCAACGCGAAGAACCUUACCAAGGCUUGACAUACACCGGUAACGCCCAGAGAUGGGUGCCCCUUUGUGGUCGGUGUACAGGUGGUGCAUGGUUGUCGUCAGCUCGUGUCGUGAGAUGUUGGGUUAAGUCCCGCAACGAGCGCAACCCUCGUCCUAUGUUGCCAGCGGGUCAUGCCGGGGACUCAUGGGAGACUGCCGGGGUCAACUCGGAGGAAGGUGGGGAUGACGUCAAAUCAUCAUGCCCCUUAUGUCUUGGGCUUCACGCAUGCUACAAUGGCCGGUACAAAGGGCUGCGAUACCGCGAGGUGGAGCGAAUCCCAGAAAGCCGGUCUCAGUUCGGAUUGGGGUCUGCAACUCGACCCCAUGAAGUCGGAGUCGCUAGUAAUCGCGGAUCAGCAUGCCGCGGUGAAUACGUUCCCGGGCCUU
rnacentral:rRNA from 1 species